rnacentral:rRNA from 1 species
UUCCGGUUGAUCCUGCCGGAGGCUACUGCUAUUGGAGUUCGAUUAAGCCAUGCGAGUCUAAGGGGUACUUGUACCCCUGGCAUAAUGCUCAGUAACACGUGGAUAAUCUACCCUUAGGUGGGGCAUAAACCCGGGAAACUGGGGCUAAUACCCCAUAGAUACAGAACGCUGGAAUGCCUCUGUAUUCAAAGCUCCGGCGCCUAAGGAUGAGUCUGCGACCUAUCAGGUAGUAGUCAGGGUCACGACCUGACUAGCCAACGACGGGUACGGGGUGUGAGAGCACUUGCCCGGAGAUGGUUUCUGAGACACGAAACCAGGCCCUACGGGGCGCAGCAGGCGCGAAAACUUCGCAAUGCGGGAAACCGUGACGAGGGAACUCCAAGUGUCUAUGCAAUGCAUAGACUGUUUUUCAGCCUAAAUAGCUGUUAGAGUAGGGGGUGGGUAAGACCGGUGCCAGCCGCCGCGGUAACACCGGCACCCCGAGUGGUAGCCACUAUUAUUGGGCCUGAAGCGUUCGUAGCCGGUUUAGUAAAUUCUUGGGUAAAUCGUACAGCUUAACUGUGCGGAUUCCGGGGACACUACUAGACUUGAGACCGGGAGAGAUUAGAGGUACUUGCAGGGGAGCGGUGAAAUGUUGUAAUCCUGCAGGGACCACCAGUGGCGAAGGCGUCUAAUCAUAACGGCUCUGACGGUGAGGAACGAAACCCUGGGGCGCAAACGGGAUUAGAUACCCCGGUAGUCCAGGGCGUAAACGCUGCUGACUUGGUGUUGGAGAUCCUACGAGGGUGUCCAGUGCUGGCGCGAAGGUAUUAAGUCAGCCGCCUGGGGAGUACGGUCGCAAGACUGAAACUUAAAGGAAUUGGCGGGGGGAGCACUGCAACGUGUGUAGCGUGCGGUUUAAUUGGAUUCAACGCCGGA